AACGAACGCUGGCGGCAGGCUUAACACAUGCAAGUCGAGCGCCCCGCAAGGGGAGAGGCAGACGGGUGAGUAACGCGUGGGAAUCUACCCAUCUCUACGGAAUAACGCAUGGAAACGUGUGCUAAUACCGUAUACGUCCUUCGGGAGAAAGAUUUAUCGGAGAUGGAUGAGCCCGCGUUGGAUUAGCUAGUUGGUGGGGUGAAGGCCUACCAAGGCGACGAUCCAUAGCUGAUCUGAGAGGAUGAUCAGCCACACUGGGACUGAGACACGGCCCAGACUCCUACGGGAGGCAGCAGUGGGGAAUAUUGGACAAUGGGCGCAAGCCUGAUCCAGCCAUGCCGCGUGAGUGAUGAAGGCCCUAGGGUUGUAAAGCUCUUUCACCGGUGUAGAUAAUGACGGUAACCGGAGAAGAAGCCCCGGCUAACUUCGUGCCAGCAGCCGCGGUAACAC
rnacentral:rRNA from 1 species